rnacentral:rRNA from 1 species
GGUUAACGCUGGCGGCGUGCCUAACACAUGCAAGUCGAACGGUUCUAAGCGCGAGCUUAGGAUAGUGGCGAACGGGUGAGUAAAAGGUAGGAAUCUACCCCUUGGACGGAGAUAGCUACUGGAAACGGUAGGUAAACUUCGAUAAGCCCGAGAGGGGAAAGUGGUGAGACAGCCGAGGGAUGAGCCUACUCUCCAUCAGGUAGUUGGUGAGAUAAAAGCUUACCAAGCCGAUGACGGAUAACCGGUGUGAGAGCAUGAACGGUCACAAGGGCACUGAGAGACGGGCCCUACUCCUACGGGAGGCAGCAGUGGGGAAUCUUGGACAAUGGGCGAAAGCCUGAUCCAGCGACGCCGCGUGGAGGACGAAGCCCUUCGGGGUGUAAACUCCUUUUCUCAGGGAAAAAGGAUGAUGGUACCUGAGGAAUAAGCCCGGCUAACUACGUG